UGUACUUUCUGUGUUGUAUGAGUGAGUGAUUAAUACUGAAGGGGGGUCUAGUACCAACUGCUCUGUUAGUAGUGUUGUAUAUGACAUCCAUUAUCCCAUCCUGAAUUCUCUACUUUGAAUAUUCUGUCUUGCAGUGGCUUGUUUGAUAAACAGGAGUAUCUGAAGGAAAGUGAAAGAUGCCGUCUACUGUAGCCACAAAGACUACCCAUACACACAAACCCUCAGAAGAUGGAUCACAGUCUGCUGACAUACCUGUGAAGCGAAUGGAGAAGGUAGACGGGAUGGUGCGGAAAACUAAAGUGAACAGCCAGAGCCCCGGGUCCCUCUCACCAGCCAGGCGGCAGAACAAGGAGAAGGAAAUCAAGGAGACUAAAACCACAAUCAACUUCGUCACGUUCCCAUUGGCACAGUUUACGCCUGAGCAGCAACUUCUCAAACCAAAUGAGUGGAGCUACUGCGACUAUUUCUGGGCCGAUAAAAAGGACCCUCAGGGGACCACCACGGUAUCGGGCUUUGAGGUUCUGCUGCAGAAACAGCUGAAGGGUAAACAGAUGCAGAAGGAGAUGGCAGAAUUCAUUAGGGAAAGAAUAAAGAUUGAGGAAGAGUACGCCAAGAACCUCUCCAAGCUUUCCCAGAUCCCGCUUGCUGCCCAAGAAGAGGGGACACUUGGAGAGGCUUGGUCACAGCUAAAGAAAAGUUUUGCUGAUGAAGCAGAUGUCCAUCUCAAAUUCUCCUCAAAGCUUCAGUGUGAGGUGGAGAAACCACUGCUGACGUUCAGAGGGGACAACUUCAAGAAGGACAUGAAGAAAUACGACCACCACAUUGCUGACCUGAGGAAACAGCUGGUCAGUCGUUAUGCUGCUGUAGAGAAGGCCCGUAAGGCUCUGGCAGAUAGGCAGAAGGACCUGGAGGUGAAGACGCAGCAACUGGAGAUCAAACUAAGCAACAAGACGGAAGAGGACAUCAAGAAGGCCCGAAGAAAAUCCACUCAAGCAGGUGAUGACCUGAUGCGCUGUGUGGACCUCUACAAUCAAGCCCAAUCUAAGUGGUUUGAAGAGAUGGUCACUACAAGUUUGGAAUUGGAAAGGCUCGAGGUAGAAAGGGUGGAAAUGAUACAGCAGCACUUGGUCCAGUACACAACUCUACGCCGUGAGACAGACAUGUUCAACCAAAGUAUUUAAACCUGAUGACGGAGUGGCCUUAACCACAAUUAUUUUUUAAUUAAAUACGAACCACUCUGCCUCCAGAAACAUUGGAAAACCCUGGGGAGAAAACCCAGAGACCCUGGAGCCGGUGGACCAGCUCCUCCAGAGUGUGGAUCCAGCCAAAGACAGAGAGCUGUGGGUGCGGGAGCACAAGACAGGGGAUCUGAGACCGGUGGACAUGGACAUUUAAGGACACUAACCUUAUAAUAGAAGACAACCACAUACACACACACACACACACACGCACACAUGCGUUACACACUACAGCCAAACUAGUCAAGUCUGCCUGUCUGUCUGUACACACAUCAAGUUCUUGGCCAAAGCUAUACCGCAUUGUCCCACUCAGUCCAGCAUUUGUAUUCUUAUACUGUACUUUCCAUGGACAAACAUGAACAAAUUUUACAAAGAGUGGAGAUGUCAUUUAUGUAUAUCAAAUAAUUCCGAGGCGGAGUGCAUUAACCUACUCAGCACUUUGUUUUGCAUGAAUAGAAAUUCACCAGCCUCAAUCAUCAACACACAAAUCUCAUUAUUUUACAGCACUAACAUUUCAAUGUUAGAUUCGAAAGUACAUAUUUAUAUACUGUACACAAUGCCAGCAACAAAAUCUUAAAAAAAACAAAAACGUUACAGUUAACUACAUUGAGGCAACAUUUCGUGUUGCUCAUAGAAUCACAUUCAAAAUCCUAAAUAUGAAGACAUAAUGGAAGCAUGCAUAAAUCAGACCAUUGUUUCUGUACAAUAAUGGUUUAAAGAAAAGAACUUAUUAGUCAUUUAUCAUGUUUAAAAAUGCUUUCUACCAGAAAAAGCAGCUGCAGUCUGAAAAAGACAGUAGUUUUAACCUAAAUAACCAGCAUGAUCCCAUUUGUAGAAAUUGUGAAAAUAAUAUUCUAUUAUAGUGUCAUUGUAUAGUUAUGUUGUUAAAUCUGUAAUGUAGUAAAAAAAAAGAAAAAGAAAAAGAACAGAAUUUAUUGCGAUGAGAAAUUGAAAACGAUAUUAUAUUCAUACCCAACGUAAAUCUUUGACAAAAUCUUCUUGAAAAGGAGCCUGAACAAAAUGCAUUAUCUAGGUAUGAAUAUUUUUUAGAAAUAUUUUUGCAGACUACGUUUUGCAAAGAAGCAUGUGUACUUCUCGAAAAAAAUGUGGUGAUGAAUAGUUCUAUUUCAUCCACAGAAUAAUAUUUGUGUAAACAAUUCAAAUCAUUCACUGUCUUCAUAAAGUAUGUGUUUGCAAAAUACUGCAAUUGUAAUCCCAAUCAUAUGAAAUUUUCCUCAAGCGAAGCCAAGAAACUUCUUUAUGCAGAACAUAAUCAGCUCUGUGGAACAUCAUAAUCUCAUUCUGCUUUCAUUUCAAGUAUAGUUGGAGAAGUUACUAAAGCUGGUAUUAUGGAUAAACUUUAGAGUUGCGUGUAGAAACUGUUUUAAUGGAAGAAGAUGAAGAAGAAGAAGAAGAAGAAGAAGAAGAAGAAGAAGAAGAAGAAGAAGACUAUCACAUUUUACAGUACAUCUAAAUGUACUGUAAUAUUCAGUAUAGUUGUCAGUAGAUGUAACAUGAUCAUUUGUAUUAUGUACGCUCUUAGGCUUUAUUAUAAAUUAAGGGUUCUCUACUGUUGUAUAGUUCUACAUAGAACCUUUAAGGAGUCCCCCAGAGGGACAACAGAAGAGCCCUUAAGAUUUCUAAAUCAUCUAAGUGUGUAUAAUGUACACCUUCUAGUGCCUGAAGUUAUGUCUUGGAAUGUUGAUGAUAUGUUUUCUGUCUAUACAUAAUGUAGUUGUAAAUAUGUCUGUUGUGUUCCUUUCUUUUUUGUUGUUUUGUUUUGUCUGCAAAUGUUAUAAGCAAAUUCUACCCAAAUUCUUGUGAGUUGUUGAGUUUAUGUGGAAUUGAUCACAUAUUGAGACCUCGUUCAAACAUUUUUAAACGAAGAGCCGUUUGUGCUAGGCAGCUGUACACUGUAGGGUUGAAAGCAUUUAGAUUAUAUUGGCAAAAUGCAUCGAAGUUUGAAGUUUCUCACUGUUUUCACACAGCAGGUCUUGUUUCUCAAGCUGGAUAUGAAUAUAUUCAUUUGUAAAUCCAUCACAGGAGUAAAUUUACCCAAUAAACGAUGUAUUCGUGAAUGGAGUUUGAGGAAAAAAAACCUCAAGUGAUUUGCUUCAAAUCCCAUAAUUGAUUGAAACAAGACCUGUAUAGGCAAUAUAGGAUAAAUAUAAUAGCAGCUUAUAAAACACAUAGAAGGUGCUUAUUUACCGUGAUGUAAAUCAUGUUGUCAGCGCUUGUGAUUUUUUUCCUUUUCUAGAGUUUGUAUGUAUGUAAAACAGCUAUGUCAUGUGAACAUGUUUGCUAAUUUAUGGCUAAUUGGCAUUUCUUAACAUAUACAUGUAUCUUCAAAACGUUAAUAAAUCUGAUGGGAACAUCUAGCAUGUACUGGCCUGCAGCAGCAUUUACACAACCUUUACUAAAAAAAACUAAAUGAGGCCCAAUGAAAAUUGGACAAAAUUUAGAUAUGCAGCACAUAGGAAUUUGAAGUACAGAAAAGCCAUUUAAAACAUUUCUGCUAUUUUAAAUUCAAUUUUUUAUUAAGCACCUAUCGAGUCAGUCUACAUACAGGGAAAAGCAUUUAAAGUUAAAUGAUAUAUGAGGGACAAACAUGACACUGGUAGCUGUGAGUUAAAUUCUCUAAAACAGUCUACAGCGAAAGCAGCUGCGUGUUUUUACUACAUUUCAUUGUUACUCCGUGAUAAUGUCUUUCUGUAAGUGUAUGUGUAGGUAUAAAUCAAUGCAAGGAGUGUAUGGGGUUGAUGUAAAUCUGUCUCACCUCAUGAAAGGAACAAAAGUACUAUGGGUUUGAAGAGAGUCGUUUGUUUAAAUAAAUCAAAUAGGGCA